rnacentral:lncRNA from 1 species
UUAUCUCACCACUAAGAGAUCACCAAGCACAACAAGCAGAUUAUAUCACACAUACAUAUAUACAAACAUCACAUAUAUACAAAUAUAUUCACACAAAAAGUAGGCUAAAUCCACUGGAGACUACUCCCCAACAGAGUCGCCACUUAAUUUUUGUAGCGGGAAAUUCCUGAUCAUAAAGCUAUUGACAAGCUAGAGAUCAAAUAACA